UACGUAGGGGGCAAGCGUUGUUCGGAAUUACUGGGCGUAAAGGGCGCGUAGGCGGCACGGCAAGUCAGGAGUGAAAGCCCUGGGCUCAACCCGGGAACUGCUUUUGAAACUGCCGAGCUAGAGUGCGGAAGGGGCAACUGGAAUUCCCAGUGUAGCGGUGAAAUGCGCAGAUAUCAGGAGGAACACCGGUGGCGAAGGCGGGUCUCUGGGCCGAAAUUGACGCUGAGGAGCGAAAGCGUGGGGAGCGAACAGG
rnacentral:rRNA from 1 species